UCAGCACUGGAGAAACAUGCAGGCAUACAGGGAGAAAGAAGGGAAUGGUGUCAAAGUCAUACUGAACAUACUGUCUGCGUUUAUGCAUUAGGACGGUUAUAUUACAGCACGUUAAGACAAAGAAUUACUUAACACAACACAUAAAAUGUGAUAAUAUGUAAAGUCUGUAAAGGUUUGUUUGUUUUUGUAUUCACACCAUUCCAGCAUCUUAAGCUACAUUCAUGCUGAGAACAAGUUGUGGGAGUUGUAAACCCAUGCUGACACAGGAAGAACGUACUGUACCAACUCCACACAGAAGACCUCUUGACCCAACUGGGGCUCAAACCAGGGACAUUCUUGCUUGACAUACCCAAGAAGAGGAUGCUUGUUUUCCGUGACGCUUUUAUCCGGGCACUCUCAUGUUUGGGGACGCCCCGCCCAGCUCCAUUUGCUGCCACGUCGCUGGGGCCCAACGGGGCCCGAAGCACAAGAAUCAUUCCUCUGCACAUGAAGGCCACUCCACCCAGGACGAGUAGAUAAAGAAUAAACGCUGUGAAGAUGCUGGUGCGAUACAUGACCCAAUGCUCGCUCAGGUUUGUGCAGAACGUCACAUUUUGCACCGGUGUACUGUGGAUUUCUGUUCCUGUGGCAAUAAGCAGCGGCAAAGCGACGAGGGCGGAGCAGAGCCACGCAAAGAGCAGGAGUUUCACCGUACGGCUGCCACUUAAGGCUUUGUAACGAAACGGGUGGCAGAUGGCAAGGCAGCGUCACCAGAGGUGGAUGUAAACGGAGCCCAGAUGGCACUGUGGAGCUCCACGGGCAUGCCGAUCAACAGCACCAAUAAAUCGGAGCAGGCCAGGCUCACCAUGUGAUCGGUGACGUUUUUCUGCAGGUACCCG